CAUUCUCAUUGUCUCGUUCAAUCUAACAACAAUAUGUCGUUUACUAUUGCACCAACUUUGUUUUUGGUCCUUGAACUCAUGGGAAUGCUGUUAAUUCAGCAAUCAGUGGGCGAAGUGUGCGGUUUUCGAAUGUCAAACAAAUGCUUAUAUUAGUAAGAUCCAUGUGAUUGUUUUACUAUUAAAAUAAAUGUUUCAGCGGAUAAUGUUA